rnacentral:tRNA from 2 species
CAGAAGGUGGUUUAAAUUAUAGAAUACUAGUUUUGGGGGCUAGUGGCGGGGGUUAAAUUCCUCUCCUUUUGA